rnacentral:lncRNA from 1 species
CGCAUAUAUGCAUUAACCAAAGACCAUAAAGCCAUCUCAUGAAGUUCAUAUCAACAAGAGUUCAUAUUAAACCAUACCAAUAUACAAAAUGGAGUAUGCAAUGCAAAAGGUUCCUACGCAACCAUCCGUUACACACCACGAGUUCCUCAGAACCAUCUACCAAACUCCAAAACAAUAAGGCCUUAAGCCCGUUGUGGUUAAAACCACCAAUAACAAUAUGCAAAUACAAUUGUAGGUAAAAAUGUAGACAAGCUGCAAGUAAAAAUGCGAUAAAAAUUACCUAAUCUCUUCAAAUUUCUGAUGUAGUGCACUGACAACAGUAUUGCAGACUUUAAAUGCCGCCGGAUCUCCAUAGAACUCCUCCGUCAACCAAAAAGUACUCACCCCAUGCAGAUACAAAAUGCCAUACAAUCAGUGAGCAAUUCAUGCUAUCAAAAUCAAUCUCGAUACAGUGGAAUGCUUAACAUGUGUAUCAAUAAUCAGUGUCAGUGUAUGCUUUGCAUACUUUUAUUUUUUAAUAACAUUAGCAUUCAAACAUGCUUUCAAUAGCAUAUUCGAUUUUAGACUUGUAUAUAUUCAAUCAAUCAAAUCAACAGUUUCACUAGUAUGUAACUUACGAUACAAUCUAGUCAUACUUAGUAUGCAAUUUGAACAGUGGCAUAGCAUGUCGAACAUUACACAUGCAUUCAAUAAUCAAUAAACACGAUAUAACAUCAUUUCAAAGCAUAUCCCAACAAGCAUACUAUAAUCCCUAACAUUGGUAAUCAAUCAAACAAUCAAAUAUAACAAUUUCACAUACAGACAAUCUUGGUAAGAGCUUAACCACUCAGUCAAUAUUUUUUAAGUCACAUACCUUGCUCGACAACUUUUAAUUCGCUUAUUAGACCAUUUAGCCAUGCCCAACCAACAAGCAUUUUAUAUCAAAUUAUAACUUAUAUGAAGAAUUUACAUCCAAUUAUGCAAAGUUAGGAACCACACCUUAUUUCGCAACUCGCGGCACAACUUCGUAAAAAUUUGCACUUUCGUACCUUAAACCCUAAAUGAAUGUUGAUACAAAAAUAGCAUUAAAACAUUAAUUUUACACUUAAGACUAGCCUUGAAACACCCCUAAGGAUUGGUCCAAAACAAUGUUUCAAAAACGAAUUUUUAGAUUCGCAAAAACGGUCAAUCUUACAUUAAAACAAUGUCUAGUGAGAGUGCAAAUAGGUUCCAAUUUUUACUGUUGGUACGGGAUGUUAUGAUCAGCAACUACAAUCAAUUUCAUAUAAAAAAUCAAUAAUUAAGCAUUACUAAAAAUCCUUAGAAAUAUUCGACCAAAUCAUCAACUUUAAACAAAAUUAGUACGACACUAGUUUUCACUAAAUUUUGCACUUACGCUACCAUUAACUACUUCCAAAUUGUCGAACAAAAGGUAAUCGAAUACACCUAAAAAAGACACAAUUAAAUGCUGAUUAGAAAAGUGGAAUAGUGAUAUUUAUUUGUUGGAAAAGAACAAAAAAGUGACAAAAACAAUAACCCCCAAAGUGGUAUUCAAGAGGCAACACACCACCAUAGACGACAUAAGGAAAGGAUUAAGGGGCUAGUUACGGUCUGUUUUAAGCUUGGAAAAUAGAGGAAUAAAGGGCUGGAAAUAGCAGGUUAAGUCAAUGUUUUUUUUUUUUUAAAUCGACAGCCACAAGAGAGGUUUUAAAGGGUGGCAAACACCUCAACGAUAGAGGCUUAAGGGGCUUCUAUAAGCAAUCUUUAGGGAACAUGUAAAGGCUGAAGGAAGGUUGUUUUGAUCAACAAAAAUAGAACCAAAAUUCUAGAAUUAAAUCAAUAAAUAAACGACAUUAAAAAGGGAGAGGAAAAAGAGAGGAAAUAACACUUACAUAAAUAAGAGAAAUGGGUGAUAAUGGUGAUUUUAAUGACAACAAUGCGGGAUGUUUUUGAGUGAAGAAAACAACAGAUUGGAGGCUGGAAAAUAAAUUGAAAACAAUAGCAAGAAGGUGAAGAUAACGAACAACAAACUACCACCAGGGAAUGAGAAGUGGACAACAAAGAGGGGUGCAAAAAGCUAGUUUUUUGGGCGGCUCAAGAGAGAAGAAGAAGAGAAUUUUAAGAGAAAUGAGAAAGGAAGAAGAAAGGGAUGGAAACAACAAAAA